GGAGGAGGGGUGAGAGUCACCGGAGGAAGCACAAGAAAGGCAAGGCGGGUUUUGUCACUGUCUUCACUGUGGCGUUAUAGCCAAGAGAAUAACGCAUCACGCACUGCCCAAAGCACGGCGCAGUGUGGGUGGAAGCAGACUGAUAAUGAAGACUGGAGGUGGGAUGGAGAUUGACAACAAACUAAGAUUUUCUGGGAAAAGAUGGCGGAGCGAAAGUUACCUGUUGGAGGAACUAAGUUAAGCCACGCCCCAUCCCGGAAGCACGUUUGACACUACGCACGAGCCCGCGGAGAGGAAACAAGAUAACAAGAGCAAAAGGAGAAAAGAGUGUGGAGCGAGCGGGAAACUCAGCUGAAGCUAAAUAAAAUAAAAUAAAGUUGAUGAAUUUGUAUGUGAAACCAAGCAACCCUGAGGAAAGCAGACAAGAACAGUGACCGAGGCGGUCCGGGGGCCAGUGUGCCGUCUGGGUGAGUGAAUCUUUAGCUACACUAGUGUGAUAGGAAUGUACAUUUUAGUUAUUUUCUAUUAUUUGGCUGCUAAUUGAGUUUUACACUAUUGCAUUAUCAUGUUAAAAUCUAUGCACUGCAGCCUGGCUGGUCUGAUUACAUACUGCCAGUGUUAAAAACAGUUUUAUUUGUGCAUAGGGAGAUAAUGUGAAAAAUGUAUGCACCUGAAUGUGACAUUCAUUAUAAAAAGAUCAGGUGUUAAAAAAAAAUGAAUGCUGUACUAUACAUCAGUUCACAGUUGAAGUUGUAUUGGUAAAAUGUUAAUAGCUAUAAUUCAUGGUUGAAAGAUUAAAAAUCAUAAUUCAUUACAGAUGUUAGCCCUAAAAUACCUAUUGCUUAUAUUGCAUUUAAAGAUUAUUUGGCUUGUAAGGUAUCAACCUAAGUGCGUUUCUAAGCUGUUUGUUGCCAAGGUGUACUAAAAGCUUAGACGUAAUAUGUGAUUUGCAGGAAAUAUCAUUUGUUUACUCAUACGUGGGUACAUGCUGUUUUAAGGUGCUUCAUUGGGAUUAACCCAGAGAAGGGAAAAAAGACCAGCCAGGGAAAAGUAGUGUCUCUCACUCAGGCUACGUCCACACUAAUACGUUUUCAUUUUAAAACGAAAACAAUCUCGGUACACACAAGUGUUUUAGCACUGUUUCAGAAAUAAUCUCUGUCCAUAUUAACAUGCCUAAAAAUGCAUAUCACAUGAACAUUCACGUGCACUGGGCAUGCACAUGCAAGUGUAAACAGGAAGCAGAUUGUCUACUCUGUGGGUGGUUGAUUAGUUGCAGAAAAUACUACGAACAAAGAACAGCAGUGGCGAAAAGUAAGACCAUAUUGAAUUAACCGCUGGUAGUCUAGGCUGAUUUUGUUUGUUUUCUUCUGGAAAAGGCUCACAUGAUGGGGGCAUGACGAAUCAGGGAAGGACACGUUGUGACUGAUAAGACCCAAUCAGGAAGUGAACGUGGCUGAUUGUGUUAGUAUUUUUAAAAGAGUUUUCAAACUGAAACACGGUCAGCAGCGUUUUCAAAAGUCUCAGUUUUAGGGGUCGGAAACGCCAGAGUAGUGGACGCUAGGCAUAAACGUAGCAAACGUUUUGCAUUUUAAAACGAAAACGUAUUAGUGUGGAUGCAGCCUUGGACAUUUAGAUGCCCACCAUCUGCCGAUUUAAAAGGACAUUUGAAGGCAUUACAAAUCAUGUUAACCUGCAAUCUGUUUAAUAGUGCUUUUAUAUUGUUUUUGUUUCAUUGAACAAAGUUUUGUACAGUAGUUUGCAAAGCAGUUAUGGAUGUUUAGACUCAUGAUAAAAUUUGGGAGGCAGCUCAGGAUAUUAAUAGGUUUACAUUGAUGCCCUGAGACAGGGCAUGCACUUUAAGAAUGAAUGAAAGAAAUGGUUUCUAUUUAGAGUUCAAAUUAAACUUUUGUCAUACAAUGCUGCCUUUGAAUAAAUGUUCAGUUCCAUAAAGCUCUUUUGUGCUACAGUAGGUAUUUUAUGGGUUAUGCAUUUUUAUUGUAAAACUGAGCUAAUUUUUGAUGAUGAUAUAGAUGAUGAUCUAUAUACUAGAUCAUUAAGAUUAAAGACACAUUGUUAUUUACAGCAUAUGUCUGCAAUUUACAGUUGUUUUUAUUAAUAUGAAUAUGAAGACAUAUUUUCAGUAGUUUACUGUAAUACAUACAGGUAGAAACUGUUAAUGUAGAUUACAACAGCAACUAGAAAUACAGUUUAUUACUGGCACGACUAGCUACAGUAUUACACUGUAAACCUCACAUUCUACUGUAGACUGCUGUAAUACAUUUUACGGUAAUAUACUGGGACACCAUGAAAUAACGGUACAUUGCUGACAACUAGAGCUGCCAGUAGUUUACUGUAAUUUAUUACAGUGUAUUAUGGACUUGGGAGGAGAGAUGACAUACCACUGACUAAUUUCAGUGGGACAACACAUACUGUACAUCCAGUUACAUAUGUCACCAUAAAAUACACUUUUAUCGUUCCAUAUUUAUUAAAGCAAUAAAAUUGAAGAUGAUUUAACUGUAAUGCGCAGAAGUAACAAGGUCUUUUUUUUGCACGGAGGAUGUGAUAGAGGAUGCUGUCAUCUAUGACACUGACGGUGAAGGACACUAUGUGAUUGAAUAAGUCACAGUUUGGGUCUAAUUAUACGUUGGCUGCAGUGCAAACGGUUUGCUGGAGAAGGUGCUGUGCAGCAUGUGGGAUGGGACGUGGGACGGGACAUGGAGGUCUAUUUUAUGUGAAAUAAACCGUGUCAGGGUAAGGGUGGGCCGGGUUUACUCACUACUGAGUCCUCCCUUCAUGACACAGGUCAAGGCCAGGUCCACCAUGAUGCACAUCAUCUGUUCCUAAGUGAACAAACACUCACCAAAACCUGCUCCAUGGAAGGUCAUCUGCAGCCCCAAGCUGUGAGCGCAGCGCGGGGCAUACGUUGCGUGUCUGGAAUCACACUGUUUCUUGGCUGUGGUAUAGUAAUUUGGCGAGGCAGACAGCUCACCAAUCAGGCAUUAGUUGCCUCCACGGGUUGCUGUGGGACAGAUAAGGUCGCGUGUGUGUGUGCCUGCAUAUAAUGUAUUCACACUGUUCUUGGCCCCAGGAUAACUGGGGGAGGCAGCCAGCUCACCAAACAGACUCCAUCUUCAGGGAGACUGUAGGAGUGUGUGUGUGUGUGUGUGUGUGUGUGUGUGUAAUGUAAUAAUGAACCAUCCAAACACAUAGGCAGAAACAAAAUGCAUAAAUGUAUGUAACGACAUACACACACAUACAGAUCCCGUCCCUUACAUCCUCUCACCAGCCUGCUGUGUCAAAGUGAAUCACGGGCACGCUGGCAUUUGAACUGGUGUAAACACAGCAUGUUCAAAGGAUCUGUCCUGUCCCCAAAAAAAUGUGUUGCUGACUCCGUCCAUAACCCCCACUCACACUCACACACAGUGCUGAAGACCCUGUGUGUGUGUGUUUCUGCCCACUGGGUACAUCAGGGUUGAGCCUUGAAAAACUGGGUGUUGAGUGGUUUUUGACACAUUGAUGUCUUUCUGAAAUUGACUUUCUGAAAGUUUUAUGUGUUUAGGUGUUUUUUUUCU